UGUUGGGUGGUAUUUUUGGAGACCCCCUUCUGUAACUUCUGUCUUGAUAUGGUUUGGAUGUUGGUCCCCUCCAAAUCUCAUGUUGAAAUGUGAUCCCUGAUGUUGGAGGCGGGGCCUGGUGGGAGGUGUUUUGGUGAUGUGGGCAGAUCCCUCUCACAAUGGCUUGGUGCCGUCCCUAUGGCAAUGACUGAAUUCUUGCUCUGAGUUUAUGGGAGAUCUGGUUGUUUAAAGGGGUUGGCACAUCCUCCUCCCUCUCUUGCUCUUUGUCUCGCCAUGUGAUGUACCUGCUUCCUUUUCACCUUCUGCCAUGAUUGGAAGCUUCCUGAGGCCUCCCCAGGAGCAGAUGCUGGUGCCAUGCUUGUACAGCCUGCAGAACUGUGAGCCAACUAAACCUCUCUUCUAUAAAUAACCAGCCUCAGGAUGGUCAGGGAAGACCCUGCUGAGAAGCCACCAUUUGAGCCAAGACUGGAUGAGCUGAGGCUGUGGGCCAGGAUGACAUCGAGGGUGGAGCCUUCCAGGCAAAAAAACAAUCGUGUGAAAGUUUUUCAUCAUGUCCAGGCACCACGUCUUCCUGGUCAGGCCCACGUUACAUACGAGAACAAUGGAACAAGUCAAAGGCAAAGCAACACGUCCCCCUGUAAAAACCGUCAGUGUAACCGUCCACUUCCGUAUCUGUCCAGUCACUUAACAAAUAUUGACGGACCACCUUUAAACACAGGCUGCUGUGCUGGUGUCUGGGACACAGCGGUGAGUAAGAGCCGUAAGAGCCAUCUGAUCUAAUGACACUCUCAGGAAGUUCCAGUCUAUGAGGAUGGACAGCAUGCAGGUCAACACAUAAACAUCAUUCAGACUGUGAAAAAUGCAAUAAAGGACACAGAUUGGGAGAUGGGAUAAAGAGUCAUGGGGGUGGAGCUACUGUCUCAUUUUGGGUGAUCUGGGAGGGCCUCUCUGAGGAAGUGACAUGUGGACAGAGUUCUGAAGAAUAAGAAGGGGCUGCCAUGGGUGAUUUGAGGGAACAGCAUGCUAGGUGGAGGGAAUAGCAAGUGUAAAGGCCAGAGAUCAGGAGGAUCAAAUAUGAGGCCAGGGUAUCCAAGAAGUCAGGAGAGUGCUAAGAGAUGGGGAUGCAGAGACACUGUCAGGUGAGAUAGAAAGAGAAGGGAGUCGGCCUGGCACGGUGGCU